CUUUUAUGGAGAGUUUGAUCCUGGCUCAGGACGAACGCUGGCGGCGUGCCUAAUACAUGCAAGUCGAGCGAA
rnacentral:rRNA from 2 species